rnacentral:lncRNA from 10 species
GAGAAGCCAAGUGACUGUCUUUAUCCAGUGAAGAAGUGGUGUGCAGGAAUUCGGACCGGACAGUGUGACUCCAGGAUCUAUGCUGUUUAUCUCCAUGCCAGUCUGCCCAUUCUCCUGUGCCCUUCUCAUUUGAGAAGUUGCUGCUUGCUGCCCAGCUUACAGUUCAGGUUGCCAGGUGCGCAGGGAGUGGUUACAGAGCUGAGGUUGGCCAUAACUCUCUGAAUCUGAAAAGAUGCGUUCUGAAGCACGUUUGAGGAUAAAAGAGGGACGCACAUUGAGCCUGAAGGCCUGACCUCAAGUUGGCUGGCCGUCACUCUGAAGCGGCUCUUUUCAGACCUACAUCCUGUGCAGUGCUCUGCAGAUCAGGCUGCCUCUCUGGGACUUGAAUGUUUCAAAAAGGAUCUAAAGGGCCUUUCAAAUGGUGCCGGGACAUAAAUAGCUUUCACAGAAGAAUGUUGCCUCAGUGAUGCGAUGACUGAAUCAGCACCACAUUGAAUUAGCAGCAAUCUGGUGCUCUGGGUAAUGGAGUGAUGGUAAAUGAACAUUAUUACGUUUUUACCCCGUGAAUGAGUCCUUAAUAAAAAAGACAAAUGGCUUCCAGGUGUCUUGCCACAAAAUUUCAACAACUGAGUCACUCAAGCUGGAGGGAAGAACAAAAGGCAGUAUAGAAUCUCCUCGUGAUUCAGUGGCCGCCAACUUGGAUUGUCCCCAGUUCCAACUUUAGCAUCUUUCUUUAGUCAUUCUACUGCACAGUCAGUUCCCCUUGUGUAGAUGGACAACAGGAGGAAUUUCUAAUGAAAAGACAAAGCUGCCACUGUCCCAUCUGACCAAGCAUCCCCAGAGAGAACAGGCUUCCCAUACCAGGAAAUGCUGUUCCUGACAGGAACCACCUGUGUCUCGUCUGUGGCCGGGUCUUGAAUUACUGGCCAUUCUGGAGCAGGACCGGUUGAUGUGCCGACUCCUGUGGCUGCUAGGAUGUAAGGUAACCCCUCAGGAAUGUUCUGUCAGCUGGCUCAGCCCAGCCUCUGCUGUCAUGUCAGGAGGUGGGAUGGCUUGGAAGUCUUGUCUCUGUCAUAAACUAACACUGUGACAUGAGGUGGCUUGGGAUCUCUCUGGCUCUUAUGUUUCUCAGCUGUGGGGUUCAUGGCCAAGAAAGGAGUUGGGAAAGUAUCAGGUGACAAACACAAAUGCCUCUGGGGGUCAGAUAGGUGACAGAAGUGAAUGGAUUGUCUGGGUGUAAGACAAUAGGAACCGCGGCGCCUGUGAGGAACUGGAGAAUAAAUGCCUUGCCUGAAGAUGUUCAAAUUCAAAUAAAACAAAAACAACCAGAACCCAAUAUUGUAGGCCAAAUAAAAUGCCAAGGGGUUAAGUUGAUCUGAUGAUUAGAGUUUCCAACGUAUUCUGGAAGGUUGCUUCUAGUUUUAAUGAUCCAGCCUUUAUCUGCAAGUAUGUAUUCUUGUAUAUCAGAAUUCCUAAUUCAAUUAUGUAUAUGGUAUAUCUUUUUGAAUGUGAGAAAGUAUAUUAUGUACCUAAUGCUUGGAAUAAAAUUCAGACCAAUCUAGGCUUUUAUAGGCUAAAUCAUAGCAAAAAUCAUUGAUCUUAAGUUGUUGGUUAGAAAAAAAUAUUAAAUGUAUGUGGUAGGAUGUGACUCAGAGGUCAUUUAAGCUCCUCUGAGCCACAGCUCUGGGAAGACAGGGAAAAUGAACCCCUUUUUAAUCACACACUCCUCCUGUUCAGAGCCCAAUUAUUUUUCAUCUGAUUUGUACGUAGGCACGCGUGCAGGGACUGUGUCUGUCUUAUUAAACACUGUACAUGACCCUGGUACCUGACACCUAAUAGGGUUCUCAACACAUAUAUGAUAAAUAAAUGAAUGAG